rnacentral:rRNA from 1 species
AGCGAACGCUGGCGGUAGGCCUAACACAUGCAAGUCGAACGGCAGCACAGUAAUAGCUUGCUCUUACGGGUGGCGAGUGGCGGAUGGGUGAGGAAUACAUCGGAAUCUACUUUUUCGUGGGGGAUAACGUAGGGAAACUUACGCUAAUACCGCAUACGACCUACGGGUGAAGGCAGGGGAGCUUCGGACCUUGCGCGAUUGAUCGAGCCGAGGUCGCAUUAGCUAGUUGGCGGGGUAAAGGCCCACCAUGGCGGCUAUCCGUUGCUGGGCUGAGAGGAUGAACAGCGACACUGGAACUGAGACACGGUCCAGGCUCCGACGGGAGGCAGCGGUGGGGAAUGUUGGACAAUGGGCGGAAGACUGCUCAAGCGAUGCCGCGUGGGUGAAGAAGGGCUUCGGGUUGUAAGGCCCUUUUGUUGGGGAAGAAAAGCAGCAGGUAAAACCACGGCUGUUCUGACGGUAGCCAAUGAAUAAGCACCGGCUAACUUCGUG